rnacentral:RNase_P_RNA from 1 species
GGUGCAGGCUGGAUGGUCGUCCGCCAAGAUUUUUGGUGGAAGGAAAGUCCGGGCUCCACAGGGUAAGCGUAGCGGGUAACGCCCGUCAUCCUGUAUCUUCUGAUGCAGGGUCGGACCAGAGCCACAGAGACGAGUCUGAGAAGCGAUAGCAUGCUGCUUCUCAGGGUGAAACGCGGUAAUCUCUACGCGGAGCAAAACCAAAUAGGUCUCGCUAAUAAGAGCGGCCCGUUCGUAAGGGCGAGACGGGUAGGUUGCAUGAUCCUGGCAGCAAUGCCAGGGCUAGAUAGAUGAUCAUCGUCUCCGCCUCAGGCGGAGAAACAGAACCCGGCUUACAGGCCUGCAUCUUUU